CUGCAACUCGACUCCAUGAAGCUGGAUUCGCUAGUAAUCGCGCAUCAGCCAUGGCGCGGUGAAUACGUUCCCGGGCCUUGUACACACCGCCCGUCAAGCCAUGGGAGUCGGGAACACCCGAAGUCCGUAGCCUAACAGCAAUGGGGGCGCGGCCGAAGGUGGGUUCGAUAAUUGGGGUGAAGUCGUAACAAGGUACC
rnacentral:rRNA from 1 species